rnacentral:lncRNA from 1 species
GGACUCCCUCCUGGAGGGAGGUGCCCUGCGGGGUCUGCUCCCGAGACCCAGAAACGCUGAGCGGGAGCUGCAUGGCCCGCCCGCCCCCGCUAGUCUCAGAACAAGCGGGCCUCCCCGCCACAGGAUGGGCUGGCCCACGGCCACCGUCUCUGGCCGGGGCGGUCAGUGCGACUUGACCCGGCCCCCCAGCACAUCCAGCAGCCCCGUGGGGACCUGAGGAGGACAGCACAGGCAGAGCCACUGGCCUCGCUUCCGGAACGCACCAGGCGCCUGGGGGGCCUCAGGAGCACCCACACCCCACUGAGGGCUGCAGCCGUGUGCAUCUCUGUGAACAACAGAACCUCGGGAAAGGGGUCAGAAUCCCCACAGGGGAGUUACCGCUGCUUGAAGAUCCUGCUAGACUUUGAGAACACAGGAAAUACUGGGGACAACGUGUGAUCCUCGAGAUGAAAGUGACUUCAGAGGACAGACGGCCGACAAGCCCCCCUGCUAAGGCCAGCUCCUCCGGGGGGAGAGGCAGGAGGGCGUCCAGGAGACCCCACUGCACCCCCGACCUGCUCACUAGAUCAGCCCCACAGCUGCGGCCACAGGAGGUGGGGGCCGCGCAGAGGGGCCACCCCAGCGAGCCAUCCUGGUCUGCAGCGGCCACGCGGGAGCAGGGCUGCCCCCCCACUCGCCCCACCCAGCGGCGGGAGCGGAGGCACCGAGUCUCUCCUGGAAGCGAGGCCGCCCAGUCACCUUUCAGCCUCCAGCCACCCUCAGGGAGCCGUGGGGUGGCGAGGGUCUGCCCAGUGGCAGGGCUGCCCUUCCUGACAGUUUGGAUCCCAGGCAAUGGGGUGCUGGCCGAGGCCCCACAAAGCUCCCCAAGAGAAAGGGUGCACAGCUUAGGCUGGUCCUGGGCCCAGAACACAGCAGUUGUCAUCCUACGCCUGUUCAUCAGCCAGGAGUCCGCUGCGUGUGCUGGGCUGAGGCUGCAUUCAGACCCAGGGGCAGUAAAAAUAAAUAAGGAGAAAUUUAGGGUCUGGACGGAAGGAAGGAGGUUCAGGUGAGACGGACCCAGCAUAACCCUUGGUCGGCACUCGAAAUCUCAUGAAAGAGCAUUGACG